UCCAAUUCGGGCCAAACAUAAUCGAUAA
rnacentral:piRNA from 1 species